UACGUAGGUGGCGAGCGUUGUCCGGAUUUACUGGGCGUAAAGCGCGCGCAGGCGGACUGAUCAGUCUGGGGUGAAAUCUCACGGCUCAACUGUGAGCGGUCCCUGGAUACUGUCAGUCUUGAGAUGUCUAGAGGAGAGCGGAAUUCCCGGUGUAGUGGUGGAAUGCGUAGAUAUCGGGAAGAACAUCAGUGGCGAAGGCGGUCUGCUGGGCCGUUGCUGACGCUGAGGCGCGACAGCGUGGGGAGCAAACAGG
rnacentral:rRNA from 1 species